GACGUAGGGCGCGAGCGUUGUCCGGAUUUAUUGGGCGUAAAGAGCUCGUAGGCGGUGUGUCGCGUCGGCCGUGAAAACCUGCAGCUUAACUGUGGGCGUGCGGUCGAUACGGGCAUCACUGGAGUUCGGCAGGGGAGACUGGAAUUCCUGGUGUAGCGGUGAAAUGCGCAGAUAUCAGGAGGAACACCGGUGGCGAAGGCGGGUCUCUGGGACGGUACUGACGCUGAGACGCGAAAGCGUGGGGAGCGAACAGG
rnacentral:rRNA from 1 species